UGGUAGCUAUGAUGUUGGCUCGGCUCACUCAGACGGCAUUGGCGUGAUGCAAAGCAUGCAUGCAUGCUUGCUUGCUAGCUCACUUGUGUUUCUGAUUGAGCCGUGCCAAUAUCUUAGUGCUCUUU
rnacentral:pre_miRNA from 1 species